rnacentral:lncRNA from 1 species
GGACUGGGCCAGGAUCGGAAGGUAUCCUUCCACAGAUCCAGAGAAAAAUUCUCGGCUCUGAAGGGGAUUCUAUUUGUUUCUGCGUUGAUAAGAUCGGUGGGAUCUGGAUCCCCUAACGGACCAAGACAUUGAAGAUGGGGCUGAUCGGUAGGGAUGGCAAUUUUGUUGGAUAGAUCCUAAUGGUUUUAGGGGUAAAAAGAAAAACAAGAACAAAAAGAUAAAAAAGGAGGAUGCUCAGUAAAAUAAAUCGCAGAUGAACCAGGACAUGGUAAAAAUACAUGAGAUGGGGUGAUGAACUAACCUUAGGGACGGUGAAGUUGAUGGCCAUUUUCCUCGCAAGGAAGAAGAUUGAAGGCUUCGAGAUUGGUGGAGAAAGGCCUUUGCUGGAGUUCUUGGAGCUCUUGAACGGCGUCGCCGCUAGGGAAGCAGAGUUGGGGC